rnacentral:rRNA from 1 species
GCGCGAAAACUUUACAAUGCGGGAAACCGUGAUAAGGGGACACCGAGUGCCAGCACCAUAUGCUGGCUGUCCAGGUGUGUAAAAUACACCUGUUAGCAAGGGCCGGGCAAGACCGGUGCCAGCCGCCGCGGUAACACCGGCGGCCCGAGUGGUGAUCGUGAUUAUUGGGUCUAAAGGGUCCGUAGCCGGUUUGGUCAGUCCUCCGGGAAAUCUGACGGCUCAACCGUUAGGCUUUCGGGGGAUACUGCCAGGCUUGGAACCGGGAGAGGUAAGAGGUACUACAGGGGUAGGAGUGAAAUCUUGUAAUCCCUGUGAGACCACCUGUGGCGAAGGCGUCUUACCAGAACGGGUUCGACGGUGAGGGACGAAAGCUGGGGGCACGAACCGGAUUAGAUACCCGGGCAGUCCCAGCCGUAAACGAUGCUCGCUAGGUGUCAGGCAUGGCGCGACCGUGUCUGGUGCCGCAGGGAAGCCGUGAAGCGAGCCACCUGGGAAGUACGGCCGCAAGGCUGAAACUUAAAGGAAUUGGCGGGGGAGCAC